UCGGGAAUUUUGCGCAAUGGGCGAAAGCCUGACGCAGCAACGCCGCGUGAGGGAUGAAGGCCUUCGGGUUGUAAACCUCUUUUCUCAGGGACGAUGAUGACGGUACCUGAGGAAUAAGCCACGGCUAACUACGUGCCAGCAGCCGCGGUAAUACGUAGGUGGCAAGCGUUGUCCGGAUUUACCGGGCGUAAAGAGCGCGCAGGCGGUCGUUCAAGUCGCGUGUGAAAGCCCCCGGCUCAACUGGGGAGGGUCACGCGAUACUGAUCGACUCGAAGGCGGGAGAGGGAAGCGGAAUUCCCGGUGUAGUGGUGAAAUGCGUAGAUAUCGGGAGGAACACCAGUGGCGAAGGCGGCUUCCUGGCCCGUUCUUGACGCUGAGGUGCGAAAGCUAGGGGAGCAAACGGGAUUAGAUACCCCGGUAGUCCCUAGCCGUAAACGAUGGACACUAGGUGUUGGUGGUAUCAACCCCGCCAGUGCCGAAGCUAACGCAUUAAGUGUCCCGCCU
rnacentral:rRNA from 1 species